UACGUAGGGUGCGAGCGUUGUCCGGAAUUACUGGGCGUAAAGAGCUCGUAGGUGGUUUGUCGCGUUGUUCGUGAAAACUCACAGCUCAACUGUGGGCGUGCGGGCGAUACGGGCAGACUGGAGUACUGCAGGGGAGACUGGAAUUCCUGGUGUAGCGGUGGAAUGCGCAGAUAUCGGGAGGAACACCCGUAGCGAAGGCGGCACUCUGGGCCGGAACUGACGCUGAGGAGCGAAAGCGUGGGGAGCAAACAGG
rnacentral:rRNA from 1 species